CUGCGAGAGAACUCUGGUUAAGGAACUCGGCAAAAUGACUCCGUAACUUCGGGAGAAGGGGUGCUUUCUUAACGGAAAGCCGCAGUGAAUAGGCCCAAGCGACUGUUUAGCAAAAACACAGGUCUCUGCGAAGCCGUAAGGCGAAGUAUAGGGGCUGACACCUGCCCGGUGCUGGAAGGUUAAGGAGAGGGGUUAGCGUAAGCGAAGCUCUGAACUGAAGCCCCAGUAAACGGCGGCCGUAACUAUAACGGUCCUAAGGUAGCGAAAUUCCUUGUCGGGUAAGUUCCGACCCGCACGAAAGGUGUAACGAUUUGGGCACUGUCUCAACCAGAGACUCGGUGAAAUUAUAGUACCUGUGAAGAUGCAGGUUACCCGCGACAGGACGGAAAGACCCCGUGGAGCUUUACUGUAGCCUGAUAUUGAAUUUUGGUACAGUUUGUACAGGAUAGGCGGGAGCCAUUGAAACCGGAGCGCUAGCUUCGGUGGAGGCGCUGGUGGGAUACCGCCCUGACUGUAUUGAAAUUCUAACCUACGGGUCUUAUCGACCCGGGAGACAGUGUCAGGUGGGCAGUUUGACUGGGGCGGUCGCCUCCUAAAGUGUAACGGAGGCGCCCAAAGGUUCCCUCAGAAUGGUUGGAAAUCAUUCGUAGAGUGCAAAGGCAUAAGGGAGCUUGACUGCGAGACCUACAAGUCGAGCAGGGACGAAAGUCGGGCUUAGUGAUCCGGUGGUUCCGCAUGGAAGGGCCAUCGCUCAACGGAUAAAAGCUACCCCGGGGAUAACAGGCUUAUCUCCCCCAAGAGUCCACAUCGACGGGGAGGUUUGGCACCUCGAUGUCGGCUCAUCGCAUCCUGGGGCUGUAGUCGGUCCCAAGGGUUGGGCUGUUCGCCCAUUAAAGCGGUACGCGAGCUGGGUUCAGAACGUCGUGAGACAGUUCGGUCCCUAUCCGUCGUGGGCGUAGGAAAUUUGAGAGGAGCUGUCCUUAGUACGAGAGGACCGGGAUGGACGCACCGCUGGUGUACCAGUUGUUCUGCCAAGGGCAUAGCUGGGUAGCUAUGUGCGGAAGGGAUAAGUGCUGAAAGCAUCUAAGCAUGAAGCCCCCCUCAAGAUGAGAUUUCCCAUAGCGUAAGCUAGUAAGAUCCCUGAAAGAUGAUCAGGUUGAUAGGUUCGAGGUGGAAGCAUGGUGACAUGUGGAGCUGACGAAUACUAAUAGAUCGAGGACUU
rnacentral:rRNA from 1 species